UUUGUUACUUCAAACCAAUCGGACUUCGGUYUGACAUCAAGCGAUAUUGAACAAUUUAGCUGAUCGCACGGUCUAAGAACCGGCGACAUAUCCUUCAAAUGUCUGCCUUAUCAACUUUCGAUGGUAGAUUAUGCGCCUACCAUGGUUGUAACGGGUAACGGAGAAUCAGGGUUUGAUUCCGGAGAGGGAGCCUGAGAAACGGCUACCACAUCCAAGGAAGGCAGCAGGCACGCAAAUUACCCACUCCCGGCACGGGGAGGUAGUGACGAAAAAUAACAAGCUGGUCUCAAGGAGUUCCAGCAUUGUAAUGGGAACAAUUUAAAUCUUUUAUCGAGGAUCUAUUGGAGGGCAAGUCUGGUGCCAGCAGCCGCGGUAAUUCCAGCUCCAAUAGCGUAUAUUAAAGUUGUUGCGGUUAAAAAGCUCGUAGUUGGAUCUAGGAUUAGGGCUACGGUCGUUCAGCUUGGACGUACUGUAUGCCCGACUCCUUUUCUCUAGUAUUCGAUUGUUGCUCUUAAAUGAGUGACUUUAGUUGCUGGAACUUUUACCUUGAAAAAAUUGAAGUGCUCAAAGCAGGUU
rnacentral:rRNA from 1 species